GGGUCCGUAGCUCAGUGGUAGAGCGGUUGUCUUAUAAACAACAGGUGCUUGGUCCGAUUCCAAGCGGACCCA
rnacentral:tRNA from 1 species